GUCGGAAAGCGUGAGUGUCACGCCAAAUGCGUGCAAGGUCGCCACCCUGUGGAUGAAUCGGGAAUCGCUGGACCGUAUGGAAGCUCCGCGCCUCUAAACACGUGACCCAAAGAGGAAACAAUAGAAACGCCUUAUCGCGCCUCCGGUCGGACGAUCUUCGGCUUUAAGUCAAACAAUCGUUUCACCUGUAACGGCUCACCAUUGGCCUGCACCGCUGAAAUGUUUCAGGACUGUCCCGCGCGCGAUAGGGGUGAUAGGCACAAUAAUGCUUCAAAUCAAUUUGCAUCCAAUUUAGCCAGGGUCUCUGCGAUGAACGCAGGACCGUUGUCUGUGGUGAUUUUAGAUGGAAUGCCCCAUCGCAGAAUCACCUCCUUUAGCAGACAUUUAGCCACGCUCAGAGCAUCAGGGCGACGGCAAGAGAAUGCCUCCACCCAUCUGGAAAACAGAUCUACAAUCACCAAGCAAUACUUAUAUCCCCUGCACGGCGUUAGCUCAAUGAAAUCCAUCUGCAGGUGAUCGAAUGGGCUUUGGGGACUCGGGGUCACUGCAGGGUCGGUUGGAGUGCCCUUUCCCACACUGAAUUUCAUGCACACCAUACACUUACCGGAGAAUUGGGCAGCAGCUGCGGCAAACCCAGGGGCAUGCCACACCCGAGUCAGCUGCCACCAUCCCGACACGAGACACAUGAUCCAGGCUGUGAGGGACCAAGCAGUAACGUAAUUAAAGAAACAGAGCUUUAUUGACCCCCGAAAUGCAAACAAUAACAAACUCAAAACCUUAAUAACUGGGCCCAUAAAAGAGGCCAACAAAAACAAACAUGGCAUAAUUUUACAAAGCAAAACAGUAACUGAAGCAAACUGACCUUUCUAGUAUGGUAACAUGAGGGAACAUAUAUAGCGGUUUGGCCAAACCAAUUAACACACAAAAGGGAUAAAACAAAUAAGCACUACAUACAACUAAACAAAGCAAAACACAGCUAAACCCCAACUCCCCCCUCUUGCCAUGGCAGCACAUGGUUCACUCCUACUCCAGGGGUUGUCUUUUGAGACACCUCCGCCCUCAGCCACACCUUUACGCUGAAUAAAAGACCAUCCCCUACAAACAAAGUAACUACAAACCAAAGAGAUUAAACAAUCACUGCACACAACCCUACAAUAUCAAAAUAUAUAUACACACACGCACUACACCUAACACCAAAGACAAAACACAACUAAAACCUAUGAAUUACUACUGUAAAGCAAUUUAAUUAGAAAAUGCAUACAAAUACUGAACUAAGUUCUUACUGUGUGGCUGUAGCCAUCACAAGGCCAUGAACGGCUUUCUCCAUCCCUGGAUACACAGAUCUCUUCAUCCGCGUAGCUCACCCUCCGUUGCACCUGUUUGAAUCAAAAGGAAGGUGGGCGGAGUCAGGGAAGAGGCGUUCAUCCUGGCCAGGAGUCAUGGCAACGAGGAGGGUAGGCGGAGUCAUGACAGAGGCGCUCACCCUGGCCAGGAGCCAUGGCAACGAGGAGGGUAGGCGGAGUCAUGACAGAGGCGCUCACCCUGGCCAGGAGCCAUGGCAACGAGGAGGGUAGGCGGAGUCAUGACAGAGGCGCUCACCCUGGCCAGGAGCCAUAGCAGCAGGGGAGUUGGGUGGAUCUGUGACACUCACCCUCACAUCCUGUAGGACGACAUUUCUGCUUUUCAGAAUGAGUGUCUGUCUGAAAUUAUCUUCUACAUCAUGCUAAUGAUUUAGCUGCUCUAUGCUCAUCUGCAAGAGAAAAAUGAGGAUAUAGCAGUUCAGAAAAAAACUAGACUUAUUUGCUUCAUUUGCUUGUAUUUUAAACUCUGUGAGCAGGAAUGAUUCACCAUAAAGACCAACAAUCAAUUAUUUUACUAUGAAAUUAUGUUUCUAAAAUUAUAAGAUUCCAAAUAUUUAUUCCUGGUAGCAGCAGGACAAAGGCUUUGAUGCUCAAACUGUUUUAUUUUUUACAGACAACAAAUACACAGAAAAUGUAUCCCUGCACAAACAAGCUCUCUCAAAGAUGAUAUCCUUUGAUAGAAUGUACAGGGGCUCACAGUUCUUCAUUUCAUGCUUUAACUUUUGAAGUUACCAAAAAUACCAGUGACUCACAUGUAUGACAGGAAACCAAGCAAGAUAAAGAACUUUUAAAAAUCCGCUUUGGCUGCACCUGCAGUUCAUUUAAGAACAAUGAGACAUCGACAGUAAACAGUGACGGAUUUUGAUGUCUUACUGUCAGAAGCCCGUCUUCUGUUGGUCUUGCUGUGGUUCAUCAAUGUCCCUCUGUGUCUUUGAUGUAUGCUGGAAUUAGAUAAUCUGACUCAUACAUCUGCCAUCCCAGCACUGCUGAGUGCUGGUUUUGAAUGUGGCCAUAACUGUGUCUGUGUGCAGUUUGCAGGCUUUCUCUGUUCACAUGGCAUUUCUCCACCUUCCAGUGCCCUGCAAUGGACUGACGUGCUGUUGAAGAAACGACAGAGACAGUGAAGGUA